rnacentral:rRNA from 1 species
UACGUAGGGUGCAAGCGUUGUCCGGAAUUAUUGGGCGUAAAGAGCUCGUAGGCGGUUUGUCGCGUCGAAUGUGAAAACCCGGGGCUCAACCCCGGGCCUGCAUUCGAUACGGGCAGACUAGAGUUCGGUAGGGGAGUCUGGAAUUCCUGGUGUAGCGGUGAAAUGCGCAGAUAUCAGGAGGAACACCGGUGGCGAAGGCGGGACUCUGGGCCGAUACUGACGCUGAGGCGCGAAAGCUGGGGGAGCAAACGGG